GAUGAACGCUGGCGGCGUGCUUAACACAUGCAAGUCGAACGGAAAGGCCCGAGCUUGCUUGGGUACUCGAGUGGCGAACGGGUGAGUAACACGUGGGUGAACUGCACCGAACUUACGGAUAAGCCUUGGAAACUGGGGAGAAAACCGGAUAGGAUCACGUGAUGGGUGUGGUGGUGGAAAGAUUUUUCGCUGUGGGAUGAGGUAGCGACCUAUCCGCGUGGUGGUGGGGACAUGGCCUAGCAAGGCGUCGACGGGUAGCCGGCCUGCGAGAGUGUAGGGCCACAUUGGAACUGUGCUACAGCCCAGACUCCUACGGGAGGCAGCAGUGGGGAAUAUUGCACGAUGCGCGCAAGCCUGAUGCAGCGACGCCGCGUGGGCGAUGACGGCCUUCAGGUUGUAAAAUCCUUUCGCUAGGGACGAAGCGUUUUUGUGACGGUACCUAGAGAAGAAGCCCCGGCUAACUACGUG
rnacentral:rRNA from 1 species